UUAAGCGACUAAGCGUACACGGUGGAUGCCCUGGCAGUCAGAGGCGAUGAAGGACGUGCUAAUCUGCGAAAAGCGCCGGCGAGGUGAUAUGAACCUUUGACCCGGCGAUGUCCGAAUGGGGAAACCCAGUGCAAUUCGUUGCACUAUCGUUAACUGAAUACAUAGGUUAACGAGGCGAACCGGGGGAACUGAAACAUCUAAGUACCCCGAGGAAAAGAAAUCAACCGAGAUUCCCCCAGUAGCGGCGAGCGAACGGGGAGCAGCCCAGAGUCUGAAUCAGCUUGUGUGUUAGUGGAAGCGUCUGGAAAGUCGCACGGUACAGGGUGACAGUCCCGUACACGAAAGCACACAGGUUGUGAACUCGAAGAGUAGGGCGGGACACGUGGUAUCCUGUCUGAAUAUGGGGGGACCAUCCUCCAAGGCUAAAUACUCCUGACUGACCGAUAGUGAACCAGUACCGUGAGGGAAAGGCGAAAAGAACCCCGGCGAGGGGAGUGAAAAAGAACCUGAAACCGUGUACGUACAAGCAGUGGGAGCACCUUCGUGGUGUGACUGCGUACCUUUUGUAUAAUGGGUCAGCGACUUAUAUUCUGUAGCAAGGUUAACCGUAUAGGGGAGCCGAAGGGAAACCGAGUCUUAACUGGGCGUUAAGUUGCAGGGUAUAGACCCGAAACCCGGUGAUCUAGCCAUGGGCAGGUUGAAGGUUGGGUAACACUAACUGGAGGACCGAACCGACUAAUGUUGAAAAAUUAGCGGAUGACUUGUGGCUGGGGGUGAAAGGCCAAUCAAACCGGGAGAUAGCUGGUUCUCCCCGAAAGCUAUUUAGGUAGCGCCUCGUGAACUCAUCUUCGGGGGUAGAGCACUGUUUCGGCUAGGGGGCCAUCCCGGCUUACCAACCCGAUGCAAACUACGAAUACCGAAGAAUGUUAUCACGGGAGACACACGGCGGGUGCUAACGUCCGUCGUGAAGAGGGAAACAACCCAGACCGCCAGCUAAGGUCCCAAAGUCAUGGUUAAGUGGGAAACGAUGUGGGAAGGCACAGACAGCCAGGAUGUUGGCUUAGAAGCAGCCAUCAUUUAAAGAAAGCGUAAUAGCUCACUGGUCGAGUCGGCCUGCGCGGAAGAUGUAACGGGGCUAAACCAUGCACCGAAGCUGCGGCAGCGACGCUUAUGCGUUGUUGGGUAGGGGAGCGUUCUGUAAGCCGUUGAAGGUGGCCUGUGAGGGUUGCUGGAGGUAUCAGAAGUGCGAAUGCUGACAUAAGUAACGAUAAAGCGGGUGAAAAGCCCGCUCGCCGGAAGACCAAGGGUUCCUGUCCAACGUUAAUCGGGGCAGGGUGAGUCGACCCCUAAGGCGAGGCCGAAAGGCGUAGUCGAUGGGAAACAGGUUAAUAUUCCUGUACUUGGUGUUACUGCGAAGGGGGGACGGAGAAGGCUAUGUUAGCCGGGCGACGGUUGUCCCGGUUUAAGCAUGUAGGCGGAGGUUCCAGGUAAAUCCGGUACCUUAUUAACGCUGAGGUGUGAUGACGAGGCACUACGGUGCUGAAGUAACAAAUGCCCUGCUUCCAGGAAAAGCCUCUAAGCAUCAGGUAACAUCAAAUCGUACCCCAAACCGACACAGGUGGUCAGGUAGAGAAUACCAAGGCGCUUGAGAGAACUCGGGUGAAGGAACUAGGCAAAAUGGUGCCGUAACUUCGGGAGAAGGCACGCUGAUAUGUAGGUGAAGCCCCUGCGGGUGGAGCUGAAAUCAGUCGAAGAUACCAGCUGGCUGCAACUGUUUAUUAAAAACACAGCACUGUGCAAACACGAAAGUGGACGUAUACGGUGUGACGCCUGCCCGGUGCCGGAAGGUUAAUUGAUGGGGUUAGCGGCAACGCGAAGCUCUUGAUCGAAGCCCCGGUAAACGGCGGCCGUAACUAUAACGGUCCUAAGGUAGCGAAAUUCCUUGUCGGGUAAGUUCCGACCUGCACGAAUGGCGUAAUGAUGGCCAGGCUGUCUCCACCCGAGACUCAGUGAAAUUGAACUCGCUGUGAAGAUGCAGUGUACCCGCGGCAAGACGGAAAGACCCCGUGAACCUUUACUAUAGCUUGACACUGAACACUGGUCCUUGAUGUGUAGGAUAGGUGGGAGGCUUUGAAGCGUGGACGCCAGUCUGCGUGGAGCCGUCCUUGAAAUACCACCCUUUAAUGGCUGGUGUUCUAACGUAGACCCGUAAUCCGGGUUGCGGACAGUGUCUGGUGGGUAGUUUGACUGGGGCGGUCUCCUCCCAAAGAGUAACGGAGGAGCACGAAGGUUAGCUAAUCCUGGUCGGACAUCAGGAGGUUAGUGCAAUGGCAUAAGCUAGCUUGACUGCGAGAGUGACGGCUCGAGCAGGUGCGAAAGCAGGUCAUAGUGAUCCGGUGGUUCUGAAUGGAAGGGCCAUCGCUCAACGGAUAAAAGGUACUCCGGGGAUAACAGGCUGAUACCGCCCAAGAGUUCAUAUCGACGGCGGUGUUUGGCACCUCGAUGUCGGCUCAUCACAUCCUGGGGCUGAAGUAGGUCCCAAGGGUAUGGCUGUUCGCCAUUUAAAGUGGUACGCGAGCUGGGUUUAGAACGUCGUGAGACAGUUCGGUCCCUAUCUGCCGUGGGCGCUGGAGAAUUGAGGGGGGCUGCUCCUAGUACGAGAGGACCGGAGUGGACGCAUCACUGGUGUUCGGGUUGUCAUGCCAAUGGCACUGCCCGGUAGCUAAAUGCGGAAAAGAUAAGUGCUGAAAGCAUCUAAGCACGAAACUUGCCCCGAGAUGAGUUCUCCCUGAGACUUUAAGUCUCCUGAAGGAACGUUAAAGACUAUGACGUUGAUAGGUCGGGUGUGUAAGCGCAGCGAUGCGUUGAGCUAACCGAUACUAAUGAACCGUGAGGCUUAACCU
rnacentral:rRNA from 1 species